CCUGGCCCUGUUCCUGAGACAAGGAAUAGCUCCUUUUAAGAUGCUGAUUAUUAUGCUUCUGCCUUGCUGGGCACACCCACACUGGUUGUAAUACUCACCAUCUCUUCCCAUUUUCACAUCUGGACUCUUCUUCUCAUGCCCCUCAACCCUUAAUCCCUCCCUUUCUUUGUACUCUUGCUUCUCUUCUGUCCAAUCUUUGUGUCCAUCUCCCAAGGCCAUCUCCCAUGGUAUAUUCCCCACCUCCCCACACCUGCCCUCUCCAUCCGCCAUGCUCCCUGCUUCUCUCCAGUCUCUCUUGUGCCCAGAUAGACCAGCCAGAGUUUGAUGUUCCCCUCAAGCAAGAUCAAGAACAGAAGAUCUAUGCCCAGGUAAGAUGGCACAUGGACAAAGGCCCUGCCCUCUGAGGCCAGGAGAAAGGCAGGGACCUCUGGCACCUGUGACUGACAUUUCCUUCCUCCAGAUCUUUCGGGAAUACCUGACUUACCUGAAUCAGCUGGGAACCUUGCUGGGAGGAGACCCAAGCAAGGUGCAAGAACACUCUUCCUUGUCAAUCUCCAUCACUUCACGGCUGUUCCAGUUUCUGAGGCCCCUGGAGCAGCGGCAGGCACAGGGCAAGCUCUUCCAGAUGAUCACUAUCGACCAGCUCAAGGUGCCUGGAACUGGGGGCCAGAAGACUGUGGGCAUGGGGAUCUUCCUCUGAAACAUUACCUCCUUUCCUUCUUCCUCCUAGUGCCCUUAAUACCUUUUCAUUCUGUCUCUGACUCCAUCCCCUCCCCCAGUUAGCCUGUUCUCUUCUUUUUCUCACACCCAAGGGGAAGCCCUUUCCCCUUCCUUCUCUUUUCCUUUUCCCCCUCAGCUUUGUGUCCCUCCUCUAAGGAAAUGGCCCCCGCCAUCGACUGGUUGUCCUGCUUGCAAGCGACAUUCACACCGAUGUCCCUGAGCCCCUCUCAGUCCCUCGUGGUCCAUGACGUGGAAUAUUUGAAAAACAUGUCACAACUGGUGGAGGAGAUGCUGCUAAAGCAGAGGUUCGCCCCAGGUGGGAUUGGGGAGAUCAUGGAAAUGGAGGAGAGCCUGAGCACCGUAGAUCUUGGGGGCAAAGGAAACCUUGGGGAAUGCAGGCUGGUAAGGGCCUCCCAGUAGGAUAAGAGGAACUUGCCACCUGUGCAGGCAGAGAAGCGUGGGAUGGGUGGCACAGAGAGGAUGGAGGGAUCAAGAAGGAUGUGUCUUGGGAGCACGAGUAAGGGAGGAUACACAUGACAUGAAGAACGCAGGGUCAGCCAAGACACGGGGUUUCCUGAGAGUAGAACACCAGCCAGUCAAGAGCCUCUGAGCUGUAGAAGAUGCUGGAAGACCCAGACACAGAAGACAGUUAAGUGUAUGUAUGUCUUUUUAGCAGCUGAGGACUGUGGGCAGGAGGAGGAGGCACAUGAGAUGAGGAGAUGAAGAUGGUGAAGGCUGGGGAUGCUUAGGGGAAGAAAGGAAGAGGAGGGGCCAUUCCUCAGGUGUGGUGUGAAGAUGCUGGAGCUCUUAUGGGAAACAAUGUCUAAGAGCAUUUCUGCUGGUAUCAGGAAAUCAAGGGGGUGUUGGGGUUGGGGACAUGAAAGAGUGGCUCUUUGUUUGGCUCUCUGCCUCCCCUGAUACCUGGGUGGCUACCACCUGAAAGCAGUGGCUUUCUUCCAGGGGCUUGGACCUAAGGGCCUUCUUCAUGGUGCCAGCAGCAUCUGGAAAUCCUUUUUGAGGGAGGUAGCUGCCCAUUCACAUGGCAGUGAGCAGGCUUACAUAAGGGUGCAAUGCAGUCCUGGAGCCCAGAACUUUCUUUCCCUGUGACUUUGAAGGCUGCCUCUUCAUCUAGUUUCUUUUACUAAGGAGCUAGAUCCCACCCCAACCUACAUCAUGAAAAGCUCUUUUUGACUUGGGUGCAUGUUAAAACUCUUUUGAGGGGUAAAUGUCGGCAUCUCUCUCUCAGGGAGGGGGCCGUGAUGGUAGAUGCCCCUCCAUGUCUUGGCUUUCCAUAGAAGCAGGCAAGGUGGACAGACAAAAUUUAACUUGAAAACCAAGAUGCCACGUGCCAGACCUUCAGGCACACAUCUCCCAGCCUGACUACCUCUCUGGCUUCUUGCUGGGUGUUUGAGCUCAAAUAUAAAACUCUGAUAUUAUCAAAACUGCCCUUUCUUUGUCAUGACGCUUACACUAUUUGCUCAGGAUAACUUGGACUUAGAGCUUACAAUUUAUUGGGAUGACAGAGAGAUAUGUUACGCAGUGGCCUUCCUUAUGUCUAGUUGAUUCCAUGUUCAAACGUGCUUCACAAAGAGUUUAUCUCUGACAUCCAGUGGGAUCCACUGGGCCACAUGUAGACUUUGUGGCACAGAUGUGGAUAUAUCUGAGGAGGGGCCUGGGUAGAAAAAUACACUUCACUAACCAGAGUCUACUUAUUACAUAAGAUGCAGAGAUGCUCCUUUGCUGAGAAUCUUGAAAUCCCGAGUUGGAUAUAUCCAAAUGCAAGCAGAAGAGUCCAGUACAUUGGAUACAUCCCAACCUCAGUGAAGGCCUCAGUUUAGUCUUAAAAAUCACUGGAUUUUUUUUCUUAGUAAUUUGUGGUCCAUUUCCCUGCCUUGGAGAAACUCUCUGCUUUGGCACCCUAAAAUUGCUGUGGAAUUUAGAGAAGAUAAAGGUAUUCACAGGGACUGGAAUGUAGUUAUUGCUUAUCAAGAGCUAAUGGUGUGCUAGACACUCUUUGAAAUCCUUUAGAUCUAUUAGCUGAUUUAGUCUUUACAAUUCCAUGAGGUACCAUGGAUGCCAUUUGGUUCGUAUUUUAAAGAGGAGGAAACAGAGGCACGAAAGAUAAGGAAGUUGCUCAGGUAUGACAGUAAGUUAGUGGGGUGAGGAUUUGAACCCUGGCAGUCUGGCUGCAGGGUCUGUGUUGUUUACUCAUUGUGCUAAAAAAGCAGUCUUCCUGAGGAACAUCACUUGGGUUGGAGAGUGGCCAAGAAGCUUCUGCCCAGCUUUUCUCUUGAUUCAGAUGAAGCAGACCAGAGCCCCAAGUUAUCUUAAUUGGGGUUGCUACAAAAUCCUGGCAACAAACAGCUACCUAUAAAAGCCAGCACCAUGGCCUCAUGGCACUUCUUGGAGGCUGUAAGAGUGCUAAUGUUGAGGCUCAGGCUUAAAGAAUGCAGAAGGCUUAGAUGUCCUGAAGCCAUUAUCUUUUCCAUUAGGGCACAUAAUUGUCCUUGGGCUUAAAAGCUGAACUAAUCUCUGCCAACAAAUAAUUGUGUGACCUUGGGGACGCCACUUCACCUUUCUGGAACAAUAGUAUAAAAGAUGGCACUUAAUAAUAAUGAUAACAGCUGCUAUACAUGGAGUAGUCACUGUCUGUCAGCACUUGGGACAGGUUAUUUAUUUAAAUCUUCCAGAAACACUUGGAGGUUUUUAAUCCCCAUUUUGCAGAAGCAAAAAUAGGCUCAGAAAGGUCAAGAAACUUUCCCAAGACCACACAGCUCACAAGUAAGUGAACAGACUCCAAAACAGAUGUUUUGGCUCAUAAAGUCAUGUUUUUAACCACACACUAUACAGGAUUGAGAAACAAGUAGGUGCUACAAACAGGGUUAGAAAACUUUUUUAUAAAGGGCAACAUAGUAAAUAUCGACUUCGUGAUCCAUAAAUGGUUGGUGUUACAAACUACUCAACUCUGUCCCUGUAGUGCAAAAACAACUGUACACUAAGUAAAUGCUGUGUUCCCAGGGGAUCCUGGUUUAGACAGCAGAUAUUCUUGGAGUUCCCAAGAGGGAGAGAUCAGGGAGCAUUUGAAGGAUCAGUGGCAUCUCUGUGCAGGAGGCAGAACUGACAAAAUGUCUAGAGAGAGGAAGGAGUUUUCUGGUGAAGAAAGGGGUAUCAUCUUAUGGGGACAGGGCAGGAGGCAGGCUGGCUAAAACUUGGUGCAGGGUGAGGGAUCCUCCUGGUGGCUCUGGUUGAGAGGAGAAGACUAGGCUUGCUGUGUCCACUGAUGCCCCUGGAGCAUGCUCCAGGUGUU
rnacentral:lncRNA from 1 species